AUGCAAGUUACCUGGUUGGAGGUCAGCGUAGAGCCAGGGAGAGCAAGACCCCACACUGAACCUUACCACGAGCUUCUGGGUGCUGAGGUAAACUCGGACUUGCAGUUCUGCAGGGAGCUGGGAGCCCAGCUCUUUGAGGGCGGAUCCCAAGCAUGGUUUCUUCAUGCAAAGCUUCUACUGACUCAAGGAGAUCUUUACGACGUGAGUGGUGUUGGCCCCAUUUGGAGGAACAGGGAGAAAUGUUUCUCCUCUAGAAAAGAAGCCUGUGUGAACCACGGAGAUGCUGCUUACCGACAUAGUAGGGUGACGGAUCUCUACGGCACAAGCUGUAGAAAUGGCAGCCAUGGAAGCAGUCCACGCAGCUCUCCCUCCAAGGGAAGCAGCUCUGCGCAGAGAGUCCCUGGGAAGCCUCCAGCUUUUCACCUUGGAUCGAAUGCAGCUUUCAUUCUGAGAACUUGCUCUCCACGGGUUGCUUCUAGCCAGUGGCCAAGCACAGCAAGGAGAUGA
rnacentral:lncRNA from 12 species